rnacentral:sRNA from 2 species
AUGCGUUACAAAGAAAAAGUUCCCGAUAGGGUCUAUGAAAGUAGAUUUGCCUUGUAACCAAAAGAAUGACUGGGGGAAAUACUAUG